rnacentral:lncRNA from 1 species
AUUUAGUUUCGUUUUCUCUUUCUUUCUUUCUUUCUUUCUUUCUUUCUUAACAAAAACCAUAUUAUUGUGUAGAUAGAUCUAGUAUUUCAUGUUUGUUUUUCUGAUUGAUUUUAUAACAGUAAGCAAGGAUUGUGUGUAUCGACGUAGUGCUUGAAUCUAUGCAUUUUUAGUCGAAAGUAUUCCUUGCAAUACUAAUUUUAAUUAAGGGGAAGGUGGGCAGUUGUGUUUCAUUCUCUUAUUAUUGAUUCUUCAACAAUCAUUUUCCCCACAUUUCAUAAAAAUAUUUUAAUGUUUAUGAUUUAAGUUUAUUGAGAAUGUUUUGAAGGGCUGGAUUUGAAAUUGGGAGAGUUUUUUUCUUAAUUGCUCUGAAUAUACCUACAGGUUCUCUGUAGGGUGCCCAAAUAUUUAUGCCCUAAACAAACAAGAUUGACCUCAUAGUACGGAUUAUGUGUAUUUUUCUUUUGAAAUUUAGUCACUAAUUCGCCUCCAAUGGUCAUGAAAUUUGUAAUUUUUUGGGUUGGAAAUCUAUGAUUUGUUUCUUGAUUAAUUUUGGGUAACAUUGGGAUUAAUAUGUUUGCUAUGAUGACAAAGCAUAAUCCCAGCUCUAUGAGACCUCUGUGGUCAAGGAGUACAAUUAAGUUCAUUAUGUAUGUCUGAGCAAUUGUAUGGUUUAUGAAAUGCACAUUGCUUUGAGAAAAUUAAUAUGUUACAAGGUAUGGGUUUUGCUUAUCUAUUGCUGUUUGAAUUAAUUGCAAUUAAGUCUUUAAAGAGUUUGAAUAUAGUUGAAAUGCUUAGACUGAAUUUAGAACACCAUUGUUAUCCUAAACCUUUCCUAAAUGUAUGCCAAUCUUGUUUCCAGCUACAUUGUUUGUAGUGUUCACUUUUUUGAUUUGAACCAAUGAUGUGGUAUGAUACUGGUUGCUCUUGUGUAACAAGCAAAGUCUUUCUUUAAUGAAAUUUAAUUAAUUUGGAAUACAAAAUCACAAGCUGUAAUCAUGCCUUUAAAAAGGAGAUUCAACUAUGUGAGAAGAAAAGUGCUUGAAAAUAAAACAUGACAAUUUGGUUUAGCUUUAAGCCCUUCUCGGAUCAAACAAUUUCCAUUAUUAAUCUUUGCAACUCAGAACACAUCAGUCAUGGUAGCAUAUGGACUUUGUAUUAGGCUCAUGUGCAUGACAGUAUGAAGCUGCAGAAAAGGACUGAAAUGUUGCUGGACGUCUGACAGUUUAUUUUUCCCUUUCGAAAGUGAUGCUAAUUAAUCAUAAGAAUGAAAUUUUCUUUGUGAAGGAGAAAAACUAUAGACUAGACUUCUAUUGGAUCCAAAUCAAAUUUUCCAGAAGCAUCUGUACACCAUCUAGUCUGAUUAACAAUGGACCAUAUUCACAUACUGGAUCAAGCCCAUUUUAUAAACUCCAGUACUCCACAAUGGUAAAGCCCAUUUAAGACAGACAGAGAGAGAGGUGUCUAGAAAGAGAGAUCUGAUAGAGGAAGAAGUACUUUAUGUCGGGAUAAAGGGAUAAAGAGAUAAACCAAUACAUACACAACCAUGACGACAGGUGUUUUCAUGCUCUUUUCAUAUGUCAUAGUCCAAGGUUUGAAUGAGUCUCUAACUCUCUACUCACUCCCUCUACCUCAUCUUCAAGUGUGUUGUGAUGACUGAUGACUACUGUUUUUUUUGUUUUUUUUCUUCUUCUCAAUUGAUACAAGUGAUCUUGAAAACUAUUGGAUAAGAAAUGGUUAUUAUUACAGUAUAAUCUUAAAUAUUUUAGUUUCAAAGAAAAUAAUAAAAAGAGAGAGGUGGAGAAUGUAGUGCCUAUCAACUUCCAUGACUACUAGUACCCUUGUCAACUCUCUUAUCCCUUUUUCUUCCAUUCCCUUCAUCUUAAAGGACCCACAUAAAAAAUAUGGUUUGAUUGACCCUGACUUGGUGAUCUAAUAACAUAAUUGGUGAUCAAUCAACAUUAUAUAUUUCUGAUAUUAUGGAUUUAUGUUUUGUGUUAAUCAGUUCCUAAGAUAUUUAAAUUCUAACUUGAACCACAUGUCCACAAAUUCAUUUUCAUCAUCCAUUUUGCUCUUAAAUUUUGAUCCCUACAUAAAGGUCCUAGACUCCUAGUCAUAGGGUACCAUUACCAAUAUUCCGGUUUCAAUUUUUUUUUCAUAAAAUUAUAGACCCCAAAAAUGUAUAAUGAUUUUAUUUUCAAACAUUUUGGGAUUUGGUGUUGCUAUCAAUUUCUAUUUGUAUACAAUUAUUUUUAUUAAGAUUUUCAAAGAAUUUAUGAAUGUGGUCUUAAUGUGGAGAAAGUUAGAUUAAGACUACAUCGCCUAAAUGAUGCUAAGUAGAUGAUAGUAUGAUACUAUUAAGACAUUAUUAUCAAGUAAUAUUGUACUUCUAUUUUAUUGAAAAUUAAACCAAAUAAUGGCUACUCACAUGAUGCAUAUUUUUGGUUUAUAGUGUAUUUAAUCAAAAAAAAAAAAAAAAAAAUCAGAACCAGUUCUUAUCCAAACUUUAUCAAAACAGCACGAUAUUGAUGAUUAAAAUACUAAUUCAUCACUUAACCAAUCUAAUAACUUAUCAAAGCUUGCUUGUGAUAAUGAAAUACUUUAAUGCAUCACAUAUUCACACAUAUUACGUGGGAACAUAGCCAUCAUUUAUAGGGUUUGGUGAGACUCUUGCUACCAAAAGGUGGUGAACAAAUUAUUUUCUACCAUAUGCAAGAUAUCUAUGGCAUAAUGGCAAUAGAAUUUGCAAAAUCUAACUACUCUUAGGGUGCGUUUGAUAACCCGUUUUGCCUCAGGCAAAUGGGUAUUUUCUUGUAUUUUGGUGAUUUUACUCUGUUUGAUAACACUUUGAGGCGUCGGGCAAAAGUCUGGCAAAAUUUGCCUAAGAUGGUCACGUGCAGCGAUUUUCUUCAAAAAUGCGGGAAAAUUUUUCCUGACCCCCCCCUGGGAAAAUAUUUCUUUGCCUCAGGCAAAGAAAUUCAUUUGCCAAGUAUAUAAACCAACAAAUAAAGUUUGUUAACCUAAUCUCUCUCUCUCUCGACAUCAAUGGCGGCCGCGCACAACAUCGACUGAAAUUUCCAUCGAUCGACCUCCACUAUCCAACACCGUUACUCCAUCGAUCGACCUCCACCAUCAUAAUCGACCUCCACCAUCACAACAACAAACCUAAUCGACCUCCACCAUCGAUCGACCUCCACCAUCAAAUCGACGUGAGUUUUUUUCUUGGACAGCAAUGCGAUUUUUUUGUAGAUAAAUCGAUUUUCUUGUUUUCUUCUUGCUUGGUUUCUAGAAAAAUCGAUUUUAACAACAAAUGUUAAACAAAUUUUGAGAGUUAGGGUUUGUUGUUUCUUAAAUUUUGUUUUCUAGGGUUUUGAGAUCGAAGGGUUUGUAAAAUUCCGGUAAUUUCAGUUGUUUUUGUUCACGAUUUGAGUUGAGUUUAACUUAAUUAGUGAAUGAACAGCUCAGUUGUGAACUCAGAUUUCACAUACUUUGGCUUUAUUUAAUUUUGGUCUACUGUACGUGCAAAUAUUGAAAUCUAUUAUUGUCUUCUUUUAAUAUACUGUAAUUCUUUUAUUUUGAUUAUUAUUGGCUUGAUAAUUGAUAUGAUGCAGUUGCAGAUAUAUGUUAUUUAUAGAAAAUCAUGCCAUUUUUCGGAAUUUUUUCUGGUAUAUUGCGGCAUUCACUUUAAUGUCCAAAUUUUUUUGCUAGAUAGAGUUUACUCCCCUCAGAGGUGCUUUCAGUGCCUCUGAAAAAUAAGACGGAAAGAUGCACGGUGGAACAACUUAAUUAGUAAUUAACCAAACCAACACUGCGAUAGAUAUGAUGGGUUUAAGGGACAUGAUAUCACUAAUAAAAGGCAAAUGUUUCAAUUUGAUUACCUUUUUAACUCCAAGUCUCUUUUGUGCGUGAUGGAGUUCAAAGCUGUUGGUCUUAGAUGAAGAUUAAUUCCCAUUUUUUGAACAUUUUCAAUCAUACCAGGAAAUAUAAUAUCAAACCCAAUUGGAGUGUGCUGCUUCUCGUCUGUGACUGAAGCAAAAUUAGAUGUGAUAAAACGAAGGCCUGCAAGGAGAGAUCAAUAGCCACAUAAAUAUUUAGAAUCUGAUUUAGCGAGACUAAUAUGUAUGAACAUAACUGCAUGGAUGGAUAUAAGAAUUUGAGGGAUAUAUACCCUUGUUCACAUGUUCUUCUCCUAUAUUCCACCUUUUAAGAGCAAGGAUUGAUGCCAAUGUGGACGCGAGAGUGUCUUUUACCAACAAUGGAUGGCGAUCGGUAAGACCCCAAGAGCCAUCAGAAAGUUGAUUCUCUAGCAACCAACUUAAACAUUCUGGAAAGUAGGGUGAUGCAGGGGAAUUCAAAGAUGGGACCAUUGCAACCCAAGCAGUGUCAUAUGAAGAUACUGACAAUUUGUUAAACAUUCGACUGAUUCUUUCCUUAGUCCCCUCCGAUUGCUGGAAAAUGAACGAACGAGACAACAUGAUUUUUAGAUAGAUAUUGUUUGUGCAUGUGUGUGUGUGUGUUUGUGCAUGUGUGUGACUGUGUGAGCGCAAGAGAGCUGAGAGAGAUCAGUAUACCAGAAGAGCUUUUUCUGGAAGUUUCAACGUCUUUUUACCACCGGGGUCCAAUGAAAUAGUAGCUUAUCAAGAAACAAAAACAAGAACUCUUAGCAUUAAAGUAUAGUAAUAACCAGCAAAAACAGAAACUGAAUCAAAUCAUUGUUCUCAACAGAUAGUAAUAACCAGUAUCCGCUACUGAUCGCACAUCUGGGGAUUUAAGUGAAGAAAAAAACCAACCUGAGAUAGAAGAGGUGCAACACAUUAUAUUAUGUUGCCUUUUCAACACAUUAAAAUAUGCCGCAAUAUACCAAACCCUGAUUUUGCCUUUUCAAUUUACUAGAAUUGGUCCUUUUUGAUUUUCACCACAUGAAUUUGUAAAGUGUCAAUGCAUGUGUUAGUAAUUCACUAGGAGUACUUGGAAUUUACAUAAUGUCAACGGAGAGUCGGGAACCAGGGUUCCCUUUAACAAAGUGAUGCUUGCCCAUACUAGAGUUUUACAGGGAUGUCCUUGAUGACAUGCUUAUAUUUUUUGAUUUGUUAAUAUUUUCUAUUUCAAAAUUAGGUUUGUUCAUUGUUAGUUUUACAGAGAUGUCCUUGAUGACAUGCUUAUAUGUGAAUUGUGUUCUAUGUUUUGUUCAUUGAAAAUAAGUUAGCUGUAUAUUGUACUCUUUUAUCAAAACUAUCAUGUCCCACUAUUAAUAAGUUAGCUUGGUGGCAGGUUCUCCCACUGAUUCUUUAGAGAUUGGAGUGCUACAGCUGCACGACCACCACUACAACUUCUCAGUAAGUGUACAUUACAUAUUAUAGUAUGAGAACUUGAUAAUAUGCAUUUAAAUCUAGAGUAUAUAUAAUAAAGAGUCAGGUGGGAUUUUCUUCAGCCUGCAGGUCUGAUAGUGGGACAUGAUAGUUUUGUGGUGUGUUUCUCGUUAAUAGUUUAAGUUACUCAUUAUGAUAUUUUGUAUUACAUAUGCUAUCUGAAUAAUCUCUUUGUGUGUAAUUGUAUGUACUUUUUCUUUGCUAAGUAUGAUAUUAUAUUAAAAAUCGAGUUACAAGUUACAAGUUUUCUUUGUAUGUAUUAAAAAUCUCUUUGUGCCUUAUUAACAUUUUUUGGCUGCCUGUUAUGAUGGUUUUGGAAUUAUUAUAUGUUCAGUGAUGAAACCUCACUAAUAUAGUAUCAUAGGUAUAUAAAUAUUGUCACCCAUAUUUAUAACAUUUAGACAUCUUUUAGCUUUCUUUGCAAAUUAAAGUCUGCCACAACCCACAUGUCAUAUCUUUUAGAUUCCAUUCACCUUUUUUUUCUUCUCGAUUAUAAGUUUUGAACUAUUUUCUUUGUAAAGGCAAGCGGGGUUGUUCACGGGCCCCCACUACCCCUAAGUUUUAAACUAUUGUUAGCAUUUAUUCUUUUGCUGGAUAAAACAUUCAAUAGUUGGAGGGAUUCCUAGAGACCCCAACGAUGUAAACAAUCACCUUCACGACAUUCUGGUAAAAAACCCCUCCAGCAAAAGUAGCUUUUUUCAUGUUGUGUGCAUUCGUAAACCAUAUGAAAGGAGUGUGCAUAGUCUGUAUUCAAAAAAUAUUAGUGGUGUUAUUGUUCUGUUUACCAUAGGACAGAUUAAAUAUUUUGACAGUAGUAUCUUAACUACAAACUUGUAACCCUUUUCAAUGGGUUCUGGGUUUUGGGGAAUGACUGUAACCGUGGUGUCAUUGUAAUUAACAUGUUUUUUUGGGUGUAAUGGAGCUGGGUCGUUGUCGUAUUACAGUAUUAACAUGUUUUUUUGGGUGUAAUGGAGCUGUCACAUCUUAGUUUUAUCCCCUUAAUUCAGAUAUGAUUGAAACAUCUUAUGGCUUCUUUAGUUCUUACAAAACAGCAGUUAAGUUUUUUCUUUUAUCUUAAAACUUGCUUGAUUUAUAUAAUGUCAACGGAGUGUCGGGAAUCAGGGUUCCCUUUAACAAAGUGAUGCUUGCCCAUACUAGAGUUUUACAGGGAUGUCCUUGAUGACAUGCUUAUAUUUUUUGAUUUGUUAAUAUUUUUUGAUUUGUUAAUAUCCCUUGAUGACAGGGAUAUCCCAGCUUGGUGGCAGGUUCUCCCACUGAUUCUUUAGAGAUUGGAGUGCUGCAGCUGCACGACCACCACUACAACUUCUCAGUAAGUGUACAUUACUAGUAUUUACUCCUCUCUCAAAAUAAUAGAACAAUCUAAUUAUUUAAUCUUCAAUCAAAAUGAUUACAACCAUCUAAUUAUGUUUCUUUUCCAAGUUGCAGUCUCGAAGUCUCGCAUCUUCUAGCUUUUCGGUCGUCACUCUCUGAAUUGAACCAGGUAUUUUUUCUAUCUACUAUAAAUGUUCAUAUGAACUGAGUGUGUUGCCAUGUUAAGUGUUAAUAGCAUGUUUAGAGUUACAUGUAUUUCUUCUAGAAAGUAUUAUGAUUGCCUCGAUUUUUGUGUUUAUCAUGCUUAGGUGUACUUAUUAUAUAUGUUUCAAAAUUGUAUAGUUUAGAACGACAUGUUGUAUUUUAGAAAUGUAAUAGAACUAUACAUAUUGCGCGUGUACAUGUUGCACUGUAUUUAUCCAUGCCGCAAUGUAUAAGUCUAGAACUAUAGAUAACAUAAGGUUAGGUUAGUUCAUUACCCAAGAUGUCAAUCUCUUGCCGAAGCCUAUUUUUUGUAUGACCAGUACUUAUCUGGUCAUAAUCACUGUAGUAUUUUUUAGUCGAGAAAUGGAUAAUAUUCCUAAACAAGAACGGUCAAUGAAGCAACUCCUUUGGAGUACUGCAACCCUUUUGUACGGGGAAUCAAUUGUCAAGCUAUUAUUGAUGGCCUCUGACAGUGGCAGUAAUGAGGGUCAGAGCACUUACGUGUAAUUCGACCUCUAUUGCUUAAAACCUUGUUAGUAAUAUUAUUUAUUAAUCAAUGUGUCCGUUGUGACUUCAGGCAACCCCAGUUUACGUCACUGUAGUAUUUUUUAGUCGAGAAAUGGAUAAUAUUCCUAAACAAGAACGGUCAAUGAAGCAACUCCUUUGGAGUACUGCAACCCUUUUGUACGGGGAAUCAAUUGUCAAGCUAUUAUUGAUGGCCUCUGACAGUGGCAGUAAUGAGGGUCAGAGCACUUACGUGUAAUUCGACCUCUAUUGCUUAAAACCUUGUUAGUAAUAUUAUUUAUUAAUCAAUGUGUCCGUUGUGACUUCAGGCAACCCCAGUUUACGUCACUGUAGUAUUUUUUAGUCGAGAAAUGGAUAAUAUUCCUAAACAAGAACGGUCAAUGAAGCAACUCCUUUGGAGUACUGCAACCCUUUUGUACGGGGAAUCAAUUGUCAAGCUAUUAUUGAUGGCCUCUGACAGUGGCAGUAAUGAGGGUCAGAGCACUUACGUGUAAUUCGACCUCUAUUGCUUAAAACCUUGUUAGUAAUAUUAUUUAUUAAUCAAUGUGUGUAUGUGAUGGAUUUAUAUUAGAACUUCAACAUCGCAGUAACCAAGUAAAACUGUUCAUGUAUUUUAUGCUUACAGUCCUUCUAAAUUAUUUUCCCAUAAUUGAUUUACAGAAUGUAAAAACUUUUUUUUAGUAGUUGUUUGUCGAGAAAUGGAUAAUAUUCCUAAACAAGAACGGUCAAUGAAGCAACUCCUUUGGAGUACUGCAACCCGUUUGUUAAGUAUGCCUGUUAUAUUGUUUCAGAUACCAUUAUGGUUAAGUAUGCUUGUUAUAUUGUGCGUCGUGGGAUACGUCCGGGUGUAUACCUAACCUGGUCGGAAGCCAAGGCUCAAGUAGACGGUUUUCCAAACAAUGAUUAUCAGGGCUGUCAAUCUCUUGCCGAAGCCCAUUUUUUGUACGACCAGUACUUAUCUGGUCGUGCGGCACAGAGAAUCCAACAACCUGUGCAACCCUAUUUGCAGCCGGCGACCACCUUUCCAGCUAGGAUCCCUGCUACCCUCCCUGAGACGCUUCCAACUAUGUCCGAUAGUUGGUGGUUGGUUAGGAAGCUAGUGGUUGUUCUCUUGGUUAUGUUGAUCGCCGUUUUAUUGAAGUUGUUGUUUGUGUUGUAACUUGGGUCGUUGUAAACAUUUUUAAUCAGGGAAAUGUACGAACUAUGUCUGAUAGUUUGUGGUUGUCGUUUGUAAUCAUAAAAUGUUCGAACUAUUUGAUAUUAAUACGAGGAACAUUUUUUAAUCAUGGAACUUGGUUGUUUAUAUUAAUACGAACUAUAUAUGUAUACUGUGUUUAAAGGGUUGGGGGUUUUGUAGAAUGCCAACUGAGGAGGAAGAACGUAGGUUGUUGGCUGCAAUUGUGACAAUUGUAGCUGUCCAUUCUGUGAUGCAACGUCGACGACGGUCUAGGAGGUAUAUCAGAUCACCUAGUAUACCUAGGGAGCCAUACACGUACCAAGAUCACGAACGUCUAUCUAGGCUAUCAAGAUUCUAUAUAGACAACGACACUAGCUGCCAUGAAAACCUAAGGAUGAGGCGUAAUGCAUUCCAUCAACUAUGUUGUCGCUUACGCCGCUUAGGUCUAGCAAACUCCCGUUACGUGACUGUGGAAGAGCAAGUUGCCAUGUUCUUAUUGAUAGUGGGACAUGAUAACCGCAAUCGGAGAACACGAUUCGAGUUCCAACGAUCGGGUGAAACCGUGAGUCGAUUCUUCCAUGUUGUCUUGGACGCGCUGAUAAAAUUGUUUAGGGAAGUUGUCAACAAUGCUACCGAAGCCAACUCACCACUGACCAACCAUGACAACCCUGUGUACUACCACGAGUUUUUUAAGGUCUGAUUCUUAACUCUAGAACGAACUCCAAAAAAAAUAUUUUUAAAACGACCACUUAGACUAACCAAACAUUUUUUUAUACACUAGGAUGCUGUUGGUGCGGUCGAUGGUACCCAUUUUCCUACCAUGGUCCCUAUCACAGAUCAUACUAGGUACCGCAACCGGAAAGGUGAAAUAUCCCAAAAUGUCCUUGUAGCUUGCACUUUUGACAUGAGGUUUACUUACGUGCUUGCGGGGUGGGAGGGAUCGGCCCACGAUGGUCGAUUGUUGCGGAACGCAGUUAGUCGUCAGGGUAGGAGGUUAACUAUACCGGACGGUAAGUACUACCUUGCCGAUGCAGGUUUUGCAUUGAGUCCAGGGUUUUUAACCCCUUACCGCAGCGUCCGGUACCAUCUUAGAGAGCGAGGAACCAACUCUCCCCAAAAUGCUGAUGAGUUGUAUAAUUGGAGACAUUCGUCAAUGCGUGGCGUGGUUGAGAGGAUUAUUGGUGUGCUAAAAAAGAGAUUCGCGUACCUUAGGCAUGCUCCUUUCCAUGAUGUGAGAACGCAUACCAAGAUCAUCUUGGCUUGUUGUGCGUUGCACAAUUUUCUGAAAGACAUCGAUCCCACGGAUGUUUGGCAGCCCUGGGUACCGAUGGAGGACGACCAACCAGAGGUAGUACCUGAACUCGAUCCCGGAAAUGGUGGGGGUGGGAUUCUUAUUGGUCCGUACCAGGCUUGGACAAAUUGGCGUGACAAUUUGCGUAAUGAAAUGUGGGCCGAUUAUUUGGACUACCACAAUGGCGAACCAGAAUGAGAACCAUAUUUGUUUAGUUUUCAUGCUUAUGUACGAUUUGUAACAAUUUAUGUAUUUGGAUAUUCGGUUUGUAUUUGUAUUUGUAUGACUAUUUGAAGUAUUUGUUGUUUUUCAUGAAUGGAUAUAUUGUUAGGCAUGUCAACCAUUAACUUCAAACCACCAAGGAGGACUAAGAAACCCAAACUGACUACACCUCCACAACCUUCUCAAUCUACUCAAUCGCUACCUCAGGAACAGCCGUACUUUCCACCCCAUAACCCGGGUAGUUCUCGCCAAACUGGUAAAACCCAGAUUAGGUGGACAAAGCAAAUGAUUGAGGUCAUGCUCGAUGUCUUGUGUGAAGAGGUUGCGCUUCGAGGUAAGCGUGUCGACAAUGGGAUCAAAACUGAAUCCCUAAAGGCAGCCGCUGUGGCUGUGAACAAGGCAUUAGGGAUGCAUGUUGGGCCUGAGAAUGUUAGAUCGAGCAUGAAGACUUUGAGGGCUUCAUACCUCACAGCGAAGGCGCUCAUUGAUGCUAGUGGUUUUGGUUUCACUUUCGAUAGUGGAACCAGGACUAUAGCUGGAGAAGAAGACGCUUGGAAUAGAUAUUUUCUGGUAAUUCUUCUAGUGUUUGAACUCCAUUCAAUUAAAAUUUGCCCCAUGUCUAUACCCACUUCUAAUACACAUAUGUACAUAUAUGUGUUAAUGUAGGCCCAUCCCGAAGCGGUGCCUUUACGGGGGAAAGAGUUUCCAUAUUAUGACCAGCUGUAUAUCAUCAUCGGUAAUGAGACUGCAAAUGGUCAUGGAGGUGACGCUGGAGACCAAGAAGAAGAAAUCUUCGUCGUUGAUUCACCGAAUGGUAACCUUUGUUGUACGUUAAAUAUUGUUAGGCGUUUGCGUCCAACCAUUAUCCCUAAAGUCUCGUAAAUAUGUGUUCAUUAGGGACAGAACCUGAUGAAGUAGAAGAUUUUGUGGUAAUGGAGGGAGCCGACACAAGUAAAAGUCAACGAGCUCCGCAUACCGGAAAUUCUGGGCCGAGUACUAAUGAAAGCUCUAGUUCGGAAGGACCUCGUAGGCUGCCUAUACCACCUCCCAUCGUACCUUUGCAGAACAAGCGUAAGAAGUCGCGCCUAGGCUGCAUUGAUCCAAGUGACGCAGAAUAUAACAAAGGGAUGAUGGACGCUGUGAAAUCUCUGGCAGAUCAUUUUUCUGGUCCAAAGAUCGAUGAUCUUACUGAAGCAUUGUCGAACGUCCUAGGUGAUGACGAAGAUAUGCUUUUGGAGGCAAUAGACUUGCUCGGUGCUAACAAAGCGCUAGCGUCUGUGUUCAUGGGGUUGAAUGUAAAACUGCAGCGUCCUUGGUUGCUUAAGAAGCUGGCAAAUGUUGCCCGUAAUGUCUAGUGUCGAAGUCGUUCAAUUUCCUUGUUGUGUUUGUUUGUUAAAACUUUGGUUCUGUGUUCAUGUGGAUACAAUAUUGUGUUAAAGUUAGUUUGGAUGUUGCAAACGACAACAGUUUAUUGAAACGAUGUUUGGGGUGUUUUUCUUACACCAAAAAAUUUAUGUUAUGGAUUUGUUUGUUUGGAUUUCUCAUUUUUUUAUAUUCUUAUAUUAUGUUGGUGAUGCCAAUGCUCUGCUUAAUUUGAUAGGAAUGCAUCCCGGUAAUUUUGGCAGAAACAUUGCGAGUCUAUAUAGGCAGCGCUAUGUGCAUUGGACUGGAGAUAUGGAUGUGCAUUGGACUGCAGAUAUGGAUGUGUUAUUGUGUGAUGUGCUGUUGUUCCAUGCAACAGGCAAUGUACCUGUGAUGGUCCGACUCCGGUCAGCUUAUGACCAUUUUGUCAAUAGUGUGAAACACGGUUUCAACAUCGAAGUUAGUUUCCACGAGAUUCGACGUCCAUGAGUGACGGCUAUCUGUAAUGUAUGUAAUGACUGCUUUAUAAGUAAAUUUGUUUAAUGACAAUUUUAUUGAGUGCCAUAUAUAUCUAUUUUGUUCAACAAUUAAUUUUGUGGAGUCCUUACAUUCUUCAUGUGUUAUUUUAUAAAAAGGAAUGGCGUGGACACCAAAAGACGAUGAAAAUUUAUGUGUUGCUUGGGGGUUAGUCCGGAGUUCACCACCGGUAAAUGGUACCGGUGAAGAGUUUUGGGGUGUUGUUUCCGACCGAUUCCAUGCAAUGGAGGGAGUUACUAUAGGUAGAGGUCUGUCACACCUAGCCAAUAGAAUGUCUGCAAUUUGGGAGACUACCGAGCAUUUUAUCGGUAUUGUUGAGUUGCUUCGCGAGCGUCGAAAAAUUUUCGUUUGUGAAUUGGAACGGAAGCGCGCAGCGUUGAAGGUAUACAAAUACGGCCAACAUAAAGACUUCGAAUUCAAUUCUUGUUUGCCAAUCUUAGAACCAUACAUGCGUUGUGGACAAUCAGGUUGUACCGGUGUGAUGAAAAUCUACACUGGAAGUGGGAAUAGACUUGAUGACAAGUGGAUAAGUCUUGUGAAGUGCUCCGUUGAACUAUGUCCAUCAAUCGAGUACUUGUUUCCAAUACUUCGAUCGCCUCCGACGAAUGACAUGGGGAUGAUAUGUGCUCGAUGCCUUCAACAUCCCUGUCGCGAAGAUUGCUCUUACGCAUGGUUUCACUAUAAAGCUAAAGAAUUCGAGACGUGUAUGCAUUGCUCGAAUACACCAUGUCCUAACGAAUGUUUUAGGUUUUGUGAUAACGAUAACUACUUUGAUAAUGAGUCGAGUCACACUCAUGAUGUUUAAUAUGAAAUUUUGUAAAAAUUUCAAAAAACUUGUGUAUCUUAUUAAUAUGUAAUAUUUUGGCAAUGUUUAAAUUUUACAUGUUCAAUUCAAAUAUUUUCACCCAUUUUGUAUUAUUUUGUAUAUUACCUUUCUAGCCUUAUGUAUUAUUACUGUAUAUUUGUUUUUGUUUUUUUUUUGGUUCAUAUUAGAUGGCCAAAGCGAAAGGACUUCAGCCAAUUGACGGAGAUCGGAAUAUCUGGUGGUCCAAGACAGUGACGAAAGCGAACGUCACAAAUUCAAAGAUUAUGGUAUGUCUAAUCUUUUUUUUUUUCGAAUCUUUUUGAAUACAUGUAAUACCAUGAUUGACGAAUUUAGGGAGAUAACAUAUUUAUAAAUGUAACCUGUCUUUAACAGAAAAUUCCGGCAAGGUUGAACGACAAUUUUCAUUCUGGCUUGGUUACGAAUAUGUGGUGUUGUGAUCAUGACCAUAAGAUCGUCUUGUUGUGGGAUUCAGACCAUGCAUACUACUUCAAACAUCUAGGCUGGAACACUUUCAUCAAAAACACCAAAUUGGCUGCAGGUGAUGAAAUCUUAUUUGAGAUUUUGGGUUAUGUUCAGCAUCGUUUAGAGAUUUGGGUUCAGAUCAGGCGUAUGGACCCCACAGUUUCUGAUUGGGUGAUCAAGGGUUGGAAAGAAGUCGAGAGAUUUUAUGCUCGGGCAAGGGCUGAAGGAGUGUUCCUUGAUACACCAACGGAGAAGGUUCGUACUCCGGCCAGGAUCCGCAACACUACUUCAAAGCUUGUAUCACUUGGUAUUGGAGCUGAGAAGACAGAUGGCGCAUCUGGAUCUGGGAAAAAGUCACUGGCGAAGAAACCGAAAAUGCGAGUGAUCAUGCCGAAAGUCAUGAAGUUCAGGAUCCCCGAUGGAGUAACACCCAAGGCAGCAACACCCAAGGCAGCACCCAAGGCAGCAACAAAGGCAGCAGCAAGCAAGGCAACAACACCCAAGGCACCCAAGGCGGCAACCAAGGCAGCAGCAAGCAAGGCAACACCCAAGACAGCAGUAACCAAGGCAACCAAGGCAGCAACACCCAAGGCGGCAACCAAGGCAGCAACGCGGCAACCUGAGGCAACAACAAGGCAGCACUCAGUGGCAAACACUCAAGGCUACCAAGGCAGCACCCAAGGCAUCCGAGGCACGCAAGGUGACAGCCAGCGAGGUUGAUCCAGCAAGGUUGAUAGGGCUGUAAAAAGAAGAUGAAGAUUGCCGAUGAUGAAGUUGUUUGUACUGGUCAACAACCAUGUUCAUGCUUUGACAACUAUGGCGUUGGCGGUAAUUGGGACCGUGUAGCCGAAAUUUUCAGGAACUCAGAAGCAGAAAUGGAUGUCGAUGUCGCAGUUGAGAUUUCAAACUCAACAAUAGUGAUUGACAGUGAUUCUGACAGUGAGGUAUUCUAGUUAUUGACAGCAGUUAAUGUGCAUUUGGUAAACUGAUUGACAGUAAUUUGGAAAAACUGUGUUAACAAAUAGUUGUUGAUGUAGAUGACGGCAUUAGGGUUGUUAAUAUUUUGGUAAAACUGAUUUGACAAUAGUUUUCAUGACGACAUUAUAAAUGUUGGACGUCCGGACAUGUAUCUGACUUUUGUGACAUAACUUUUGUUUAUAACUAUAUUAUUAUUUUUGUGACGUAACUCGUGCAUUACAGUCAUGUGCGUACAUGUUAUUUUCGAUAUUGCUAGUGAUUUUUUUAUACAUGUCCUUGUAAUUUUUCUUUUUAUAAUGUCGAUGUGUAUAGUUGGUUACAUAUGCUUAUGUUUAUCGAGUUGAAAGUCCUUGUGUUAACUACACACAGGGCGAUUAAAUAUUUUAUUUUUAAAGAAUACCGAUUUUUUUUAUUAUAUUUGUUUGUGGGCUUGUUUAUAACUCGUGCAUUAGAGUUAUGUGCGUACAAGUUAUUUUCGACAUUGCGUGGUGCUUAUUUUCGAUAUUGCGAGUGAUUAUUUUGUAUACAUGUCUUUGUAUUUUUUAUAAUAAACAUGUGUAUACUUUGUUACACAUGUUUAUGUGUAUCGAGUUGAAGGUCCUUGUGUUAACUACACAUGGGGCUAUUAAAUAUUUCAUUUUGUCCACCAAGAUUUUUAUUAUCCCAAUUUAUCUUCUAUAACAACCACUACCUUUUUUUUCGUUAAUUUAAAUUUUAAAAUUUUUUGAACUUUUGUAUUAUUACUACAAAUCACAAGUAUGUAUUAUGUUAUUGGGUUGGGUUGAUAAGACAGGUUUAAGAUUGAUGGGCUUAAGAUUUAUGAGCUCUAAAAAUUGGCCCAUGUUCAGUUUAAGUGUUUGCCUAACCAUUAAAAAGGUUAUCAAACAGAGAAAAAGUGGCAAAACCAAGUUUUAAAGUGUUUGCCAGUGUUUGCCCGGGGAGUUAUCAAACACUUGCAAAAAAAGUUUGCCUCAAAAAUUAUUUGCCUGAACCCGGCAAAUCACCAUUUGCCUCAAAAUUUGCCGGAUUGCCGAAAACAUCAAUUCGCCAGGAAAAUUUAUCAAACGCACCCUUAAUCUAUAUCAAAAAAAGUGGGAACAAAUGUAACCUUAAUUUGACAUGUAAUUUGUUUGUGAAAAUUGCUUGGUGGUUUAUACUUCAUGCCUCAUAGCAACAAUCUUCCCAAAUUGCCUCCUUAAUUAUCCAAAAAGUUUAGCUAAUUAAUAAAAUCUUUAAGAUUUACUUUGACUUGAUCUACAUGUAUAUACAAUUUGAUUCCUUAAAUUAACAAAAUCAUCAUGCAUUAAAAGAAAAGAAAUAUAUAAAAAAAAUGGUACAUGGUUGAUAUGGCAAACAGUGUGACUCAGAUAUGGAUGGAUGCCUUGAAAGCAUUUUUAGACCUUAUCUUCUUUUCCUUGUACAAAGAGAAUAGGAUGAAAUUCAAACCAUAAAGAUGAUAAUGACGAAUCUCAAGAUAAAGCAUAAAAAUUUAAAUUAUUAAUUAAAUAUAUAUUCUCAUAAUUUAAAAAUUAGUCUUUGUUCUGUAUAGUGCCUUGUUUCCAGUUUCCACCACAUAUUAUUCAAAUAAUUAUUUAUUAUUUAUAUCUAUUAUAAACAAGUAUACAACAUGGACAUAUAAAUAUGCUUCCUAAGAUAGACCAACCCCAUAUGUGUGUGAACCAUAUAUGUAUUAGAAGAAUUUUCUGUGUAAACUAUAUAAUUGUUCCAUCUUCUUUCUUCUUUCUGCAAAAGGUUUGAUGAUCACAAUGGCUGCAAGCAAAUAUGGUAUGUUUAGUGAUCCAAUAUUAAUGGGAAUGAAUAAUUCUUCUACUCCAACUGAUGUGCAACAAAAUUCAUGGGGGAUAAUAGAUGAUAAUAUGUAUGAUUCAUCUGAAUCAACAAUGUCUUCUUCUUUUGAUAAUUCAACCAACUCCGGUGCAUCAUCGUUGUCCUUAGAAUUAGUAGAGGAUGCAUCUUCUUCCUAUAAUUCUUCCUUGGCAUCAUCACCACAACUGAAUAAAGGACCUUUGUAUGAAUUAUCUGACCUCAUGGCACAACUGCCCAUCAAGUAAGUAUUUUUGUACUAGAACAUAUUGCAUAUCAUUUAUAAAUGAAUGAUUAUUCAAAUAAAUUGUAUCAAAACUUUGUACUAAAUAAGUUUCUUAUUGAAUUGCAGGAGAGGGUUAUCUAUGCAUUUUCAAGGCAAAUCUCAGUCAUUUACAUCUUUAUCUCAAGUGAGAAGCGUAGAAGAUCUUGUAAAAAGAGAGAAUCCAUAUAAAAAGAGAAUGAAAUCAUGUAAGAGUUAUGGUGGAUUAGAUGGAAAUAAUACCAAUAAUAAAUCAUUUGCUCCUAAAGCUUGUUCAAAGAUCAUAUCAAAGAAAGUUUCAAGAGGAUCCUUUUUAUCCUCUCUAGGGAAGAAAAAUAGCCUUAACAAUAGUCCUAGGUCUCCUUUUUCUUUAGAAAAGAACUUUUGAUUGAUCAAGUUUAACCAUUCAAAGACAAUGUUUUUGUAAUAGAUAUGAAGAGUAUAUGUUCAUGUAUGUACAAGGGAUUUUAGUAUAUUAACAAUUGAAAUUUUAUCUUCAUUUUUCUUCAACAGCUUCAAGAUUAAUAUUCCAUUAUUUUUUCCAACUUGUGGCAAGAGUAUGUUAAACUUGUUAGAAUGGGGAUCUCAAGUCUCAACCCUAUAAAAUUUGGCACAUGGAGUACUGAUGGAGAAAAAAAUAUUCGAAGGAUCAUACAUGUUCUUAU